GUUUAUUAGCUGGCGCGCGCCGCUGGACUCAGUUUUGUCGUGUACCGACUGCGACGUCUGCUCAGUUAUCAUUUUAGCUCUGUUUACCCCUCCCGGUCUUAACUGCAGACUGUUCACUAAAACAUCCGCCCAAGCUCAGAACUGGACUUUUGCUGCCUUGGACUUUCCCGCCUUCAACACUCCUCAGCGGCGGUGUAGCCGCUUGGACACGUAGGAGACCUCUUCUCAAACUGCUGCUCUGUGUGCUGGCACACAGGAGUGCUGGGUUAUAGGCAGUGGCCUUGCUAAGAUGGGAAAACCAAGGCACAGAGAGGUGAAGUAAUGUGUACAAGUCCAACAGGAAGUGGUGGAAUCACCAUCAGAACCCAAGCACCAGAUUCCAGAGCCACAUGGUAGCCACUGCAAUGUACUGCCUCACAUAAAUAAUGCCUCAAGCACAUCUGGUUGAUCGCAGGAGACUUAGGGGAGAGCCGGGCACCUCCGGCAGAAGACAGGGGCUCUAUUCCCUGGAGAAGACUCCCCGCCCAGCAGAGGAUGGCAGGCUGGACACCAGUGGGGGAU